CACAACUAACUAAACGAAACACAGAGCCCAACUUAAAACACCGCCAUUCGGAACCAGCAGCAGUCGCCAACUAUUCAGGGCAGAGCCAGACGCCGAUACCCCAAUCUUCCACAACUCCACCGACUCUCUCGCUCUCUCUUUCUCUCUCUCUCUCCCCCUCUCUCUCUCUCUGUCAAUCUUCUUCUUCUUCUUCCUCGAGCCUUUGCAUUUCUCUGGGUGCCAAAACUUAGACCCAGAGUCGGAAUUUAACGAGCAGGGAAGCAAAAAGAAGAGGGCCGGGGUUGAAGGAAGUGAGAGAGAUGGCGAAGAAGAAGAAGAAACAUUCUCAGGUUGAUGAACCCACAAAAACCGAUUGCUUAAUGCACUUCAGAGGUUCAACGCUUCAACUGAUGAAGUUUACACAUUCGAGGCCGGUCUCUCGAGCUUUGAACGAGCUUAAGUGCAUGAACAAUGCAGGAGAUGGAGUAUGAAAUCCAAGAUUAAGGGAAAGCGGAACAGCGGUGUAUCUCCGUUAACAAAGUUAGAAAGAAGAACAGUGAUGUACCAAGUGUCACUCGCUUGACAUUUUCCGAAGGCACAAAAGAGGUAUUAAGUGACUUGUUCGUACGUUACCCACCCCGUGCUCAAGUGGAGGACUUAGAAGUGUCUGGGAAAAGUAGUGAUAAGAAUGAGAGUGCCCAGAUGGAAGAGGGACACAACGUUUCGCAAGCCUUCGAUGAACAAGGAAGAAAUUGCAAAGAAAGUGGCAUCACUUGCUUCUAAAAUAAAGAACAACGUUGACUUGAGAAAGGUUCUUCUGAUCUCACUGAUGUUGUACCCAUAUUAUCAUUCUACACAAAUUUGAAGUCAUAUUUUUCAAAAUAGUAGUCUCAGCAUGACAAGGUUUUUGUGGCUUUAUGCAUGCAGAUUUUUUAAGACAAGUCCAAGCUUCCAAUUAUAUCCUACAAGGAUGUCAUUACAUCGACAGUUGAAUCUCACUACUUGGUGCUUUAAAAGUUAUUAGCGAUUUGUAACAAAUAAAAGUUAGCAGCUAUGAUCACAUUAAGCAUGACAUUACUUUGACAUUCCCUACUUUAAGUUAAAUAUGUGAUAGUACCUUACCAGAACAUGAUUGGGUCUGUUACUGUUUACUAGAAUCUCUGUUUUGCCUAUGUCAUUUAACCUUCAUUUGACUUGAAUGUAUUUCGUACAUAACAUUUUGGGGCUUAAUGUUUGUUCUAUGUUUGAAAACAGGUCAUUCUUGUAUCUGGUGAGACUGGGUGCGGAAAGACAACACAGCUAAUACUGAUAAAUUCACAUAUAACAAUUAUCACGAAGGUCAGGUUCUUAAGAAGGGAAAUAAGGAACACUACAUUAGAGGUGGUUAUAUUCUUAGAUUGGGUUCUUGGUGACUUCCAAUCCUUGGUAAAGUGUCACGAUAUAGCAAAGAAACUGGUAUAAGGUGAAGUUGAGCCACCAUAAAAUGUUGCAUGUGGGUACGUUUGAAGAAAUAGCAUGUGAUGCACAAGUGACAGAUUUAAUCGAGGACAUGCCAAAUGAUAAGGUAGUUGAAUUAUAUGUGAUUGACAAGAAUGUGAAGGCAAUUAGUAAAAGUGACAAGGGUGCUGCUUCAAGUAAUGGAGAUAAAGGCAACAAAUUACAAAGUGAAAGUGACAAGAGUCAAGCUUCAACAAAUGCGGAGAAGGCAAACAAAAUGGUACCUGCAAAUGUGUUAAUUGAUGUAGGUGUGGUGCAAGAGUUUGAGAUAACAUAAUCUUUAAGUUAGGAUGACAGAUUUCAUGAAUUUUGGCAAGAUGGGGAAUUCACAAUAGAAAAUCAAGGAGAAAAAGAAGAUUCUGCAACAAAAACUUAGGGAAAAAAUAGGGAUGAUGAAGAUGUUGAGGGAGAUGAAAGUGAACAACCUAAAAUGUGGAGGAAAUAAUCAAAAUAGUGAUUAUGACCAGGAUUCAGAUCAGGAAAUUGAACAUGCACACGAGAAUGUGUUAGAAGAUGAUUUGUUUGAAAAACAGGUAGACAACCCAAUUGAUUUUCCUUAUUAACACUAAGAUUUGUCAAUUGUAGCAUAUGAAAAUAAAGGUCUUUC